CUGCGUCACGCUGCUCGCCCGCGGGCGCCCGCACUUGCACGCACGUCUUGGCGCCGGGUUGCCAGCGGUGUCCGGCUAGCAGUGACCGCCGCGGGGGGUGCAACCGUUGUCCUGAGCCGUCCGCCGCGUCCCGGGUGUGCGGGCAUGCAUGGCUUGUGUCCUUGGGGAAAGCGUCA
rnacentral:rRNA from 1 species